CCUUUACUUCCUCUUUCUUCAGCCCCGGAAGAUCCGCCUUAAAAACGUGGCCUUCCGGCGUCUCCUUCCAGUCAAUCCGAGUGGCAGCGAACUGAGAUGUCUCGUUGCAAAGGUCGGAACGAAUCUGAGUGGAGAGUGCAGAAUUAAACGGCCAGUCUUGAAAAGGGUCGAGAGAAAAUGGAUCCCAUAUGUUGCUUCCUCGGCCAAAAACACUUGGAAUUAGCGACAUGUUUAAGAAAAAAUAAGUGAGAUUUGGAGAACUUAGAUGUAGAUUGUAGAUUGAUCAAACUGUCAGUACGCUAAGAAGUAGAUUGCUUGCUGGGAAUCGUUGUGCAGCGGGAAAUUGGAAGUGGAAGAAUUUAUAGGAGAGCAUAUGGUCGAAUCUGCAAGUUACAUGAAAAAUAUGGAGAGCUCCAGAGCAUUCUUGGAGAAAUAUUCGUCGUCAAAAACUUUUCCACAAGAAGAUAUUCUAGAGUAGCCUAGAAAUGUAAUGUUACCAAUUCUAGGUGGCCAAGUGUCCGAACUUUUCUCUCUUUUUUCCCUUCCAUUUUUAUGUUUGAGCCCGUGAGGCCUAAAAAUCAAUUAAAAUUAAUUUUUUUAACGUUUUUUCACUUUCAAAAUUGUAAUUUUUAAAUUUUUUUCACAAAUAGAAUUCACUUUAUUUCUAAUGAUCAAAAAAUUAAUUAUCAAAAUUUCUAUCAAACAAACACUAUGUUUGGUCCGCUAAAAUAUCAAAUUAAAAUUUAAAUCAAAAUAAUUAAUUAAUUCUUGCAAAUUAAAUUUUGGAUUUUAAUUUAAAUUAAGUCAAAAAUUUAUUUUAACUACAUAUUUUAUAAAAUUCACAACUUUUAAAUCACACAUUUGAUUAACUUUCAUCAAAAUUUACGAAAAUUUUGAUUUUCAAAGGUUUUAACUCAACAGUUAAGGUAUUUCAAGUUAUUGUUUACUUUAAAGACAGAACAUCAAAUUCAUCUACUCCCUUAUUCUUUUCACUUGUAUGCCCAUUUAGGAUCAUAUGUAAAGGGGGUAAAGAGAGAAGUCAAUGGAGAACUAUCAAAACCAAUGACUUUUCUUUCUUCGUAUUCUUAAUUGUUGGUUAUACCUCCCGUCGGCAUUCAUAAGAAUAGGCUCUUAUUAUCGGCUAUUUUUGGAGUGCCAUUUGCGCUCUCCUAGGGUGCAAUCGUGGGGAGUGUAUUGUUACAAUCCAAAUAGACCUUAUGCUAUUUUUUUUCUAAUUAAUGUAAGGUAUUGUUAUAAUAUUGUCAAAAAGAUAUUGGCUUUUUUUUUUUUUAAAGAAUAGAUAUCAUAAAAAAUGACUUUUUUUAACAAUAUGUGAUUAAAAAUUAUGAAUAAAUUAUAUAUCUUACGUGCAAAAUAAUUUCAAAAUUAUUACUUCAAAGAGAUUUAUGCUGUUUCCAUGCCUCCGUGUCUUUACCGCAAGCAAAGAAAUUGAUGGAAAAACAUUCAUGUACUAGUUUUAAAGGAUUUUAUAAACCUAUUAUCAGAGGAUUUACCGGGUGCUUCGCGUGACAAGUGGGUAAAAUUUACAAGUGAUUUAGUACCAGGAACGGGGCCAAUUAUCAAGACUCCCUACUAAAUAACACCAAAGAAAUUGUAGAAGUUGAAAAUACAAUUACAAAGAUGAAAGAUAGAUCGAUGAUUUUGCGUAUAAAUGAUUGAAGUUGAAUUGUUUAAGAACAAAUGACAUAUUUCGAGAAUAGAAGAUUUUUUUCAACAAAUUGAAGGGAGCUAAGAUAUUUUAUAAGAAUGGCUCAAGGUCACGAUAUCAUGAACCGAAUGUUAACUCAUGUGACAUUCUAAAGAUGGAAUUUUGGAAUUGCUAUAUGGGCACUAUAAAUUUCUAGUCAAUUCAUAUUUAUAUCUUUUAGUGUUAUUAAUGUUUCAACAAUUUCAUGGAUCUAAUAAUAGAGUUGUUCAUCAAUAUCUGGAUCAAAUUAUUAUAGUAUUCACUGGCGACGUUAUGUUGUACUAUAAGGAUUAGUAGCAAGAAAAGCAACUCAAAAUGGUGUAGGACGCAUUGCACAUAGAGAAGUUAUAUCCCAAAUUCAAAAAUGUGAAUUUUUUGUUGAUCGAAUAGGUUUCCUCAACCAUGUUAUGGCUUACCAUAGAAUCAAAGUUGAUUCAACUAAUUUGGAGGCUGUAAACAAGUGGCCUAGACCAUUGAACGUUAAUGAAAUUUGCCUCAUUUUAGGACUAGCGGGCUAUUAUUAAAGAUUCAUAGAUGUUUUCUCCAAGAAAGCUAGAUCGAUGACUCAUUGAUAAGAAAGGCAUUAAGUUCUAGUAAUAAAAAUGUGAAUAUAGCUUCCAAGAUUAGUCUAGUUAUAGCAACAAUCUUGACAGUACUGACUGGGGUUUAUACUUUUUAAAAUGGUGUACAACGACCUAAUUUUCAUCUUUAUCUACUAGAAUUUUUGAAUUUACCAAACUUGUCACCUGAUGCUACCAAAAAUCGUACCUGUUAAUUUCCCGAUAGUCUUUCGGUACCUAAAACAAAAGUAACUAGGUAUGUUCUCGUCGCCCCUCCAAUGCUUAAGUCAGAAAAGGAAUUAUGUGCGUGAGGCUAUAAAUUGAGAAUAAUGAGAACGUACCUGAAUAAUAUCCAAGAUUGUUAUUUAUAGAGGUAGGUAGUGUACUCCUAGUAGGAUUGUGCAAAUUGGACGGUUUAUCUAGUGGACUCCUGUUUGGGAAGAACGUCUUAUUCGUAAUAGAAUUUUAUGACCGGUGGUGUUAGAGUUGAUAAAGAGUCCUUGGGGGUUUAGGUGUCUGUUUGUCGGCCAUAUACAUAUAUCUCGAGGACCUCUCAAUGAAUACUGACCUGAUGACAUAUUCUCGAGAAAGUAAGAAGUGAGUUUCCAUGGUCGUGUGAGCAAGUCAUCGAGGAUUGCAUCCUCAAGGAUUAAAAUAGUCAUCGAGGACUACCAUAUCUCGAGGACCUCUUGGCAGAAAAGUGGGGUGGAACACGUAGGCAGUCCUCAAGGAAUAGUUCUCGGGGUUUGCAAUAUUGGUACUAUCACUGGCCCCCGUGCACCCCUCAUAGAGUGCGAACUCUGGGAUUGGGUGCACAUGCUUACAAAUACCUCGCCAUAGGUCGGUCGUUGGGAAAUAUGGGCUGACGAUAAAGGUCGGUAUUGAUAUGACCAUUGCAGAGAGUUGGCUUGGAUGAGUGACAUGUGUCUCCAUGGACAGUCAGAGAUGGCGACCUUUGGCCUCCUGUCUUUUUCACCUAUAAAUACUGUUGUUCACCCCCUCGUUUUUCACUUUUACCCACUAUAAAUCCAAACUCUGUGAGAUCGAACUCGAGCUAAAUACUUUGGAACUUCUCAAGUCGUCGGGUAACUCCAGGUAAGGCUUGAGACUCUUAAGUUAGGACUUAAGUUCUUUGAGUAAUGUCAAGUAGUGAGGGUUGUGAUCUAUCUAGUAGCUCGAGUAGUAGCGAGGAUGUAGGUACUUCGAUAAUACCAACGGCUAUUUCCCUAGAGGCUACACCCGAUGCUCAGGUUAAUAUGAUCUUUGAUUAUCCCGACGAGCCCUGUAAGUUAAAAGAACAUUUAGCUAUUGCUGCGGCUAGGGAAUAUGGCCUUAUGCCUAUUUGUGACGUUAGAUCCCCUAGCCCCGAGGAUAGAAUUGUUCGAUCUUGACGAGGGGAGUUUGUCAUUUUUAGGGAGACCCUUAAGGCCGGCUUUAGGUGGCCUCUUCAUCACUUUUUUAUUACUUUAUUGGUCGAGCAGUCCAUGUGCCUGGGGCAAUUAGUGCCCAAUGCCUGGAGAAUGCUUGUGUAUUUCUUUAUAGCUUGUAGGUACUUAGAUAUCGAGCCAAUGUUUACCUUUGACUGGUGUUUGAGCUUAAGAAACAUCCUCAGUAUACCUGUUUUGAUUAUCUCUCGAUGAUAGGAGGGUUUAAGGUCCCAAGGAUGGCGAGUUCUCUAAGAGGGUGGAGGGAGGGGUGGUUUUAUGUUAUUGCUCAAGAACCCAACCCUCCUUUCUGGCCUGAUUGGGGGAUUCCCGAAGUGAAGAAGUUCUGUGGCGGCCAACUGUAUCCAGAUGUGUUAGAAGAUCAUAGGAGGAUGCUGGUGGGGCGCAACCCCCUUUUCUCGACGAUGUAGGAGAUUGGGGAAGAGGUUAUAGAUCUAGCAGAUACUAGAGGCGUCGAGGGUAGGGUUGUUCUUUUGUUUUUCCAAAACAGUUUGAUCUAAUGCUCGUUCUAAAGUGUGUGUUUUCUGUUCUUGCAGGUAUGUCGUUUGAUCCUCGAGUCCUCCACAAUUUUGUUAACACAAGGGCUGAUGCCCUUCCACAGGGCCAGCUUCCGGCAAAGAAAAAGAGUAAGAAGAGGCCUCGAUGCUUACUCGAGCAAAGCAUGAGAGUGCCUACCGAAACUUCUCGAGCAAAGCCUCAACCCUCGAGUCCCGUGCAUUUGAGUCAAAGAUCUCCUACUCCUUGAGUCGUUACUUCUUGACCUCCUUUCGAGGUAGUUGAUCUCAAGGAUGACACUGUUCCUUUGGUGAAUUCCCUUAUCUAGACUUCGAACGGUGCCACCUUGUUCCCGGUCUUGUUUCCAAAUGCAAGGACGAGGUAAAGCUCGAGGACGGGAUGAAGGUUCUCGAGCUCCUCACUAUGAAGGUAAUCCUCGAAUAUUUGAUUUAAGCUUUCAGUUUCUUCCUCGAGAUUAAUACUCCUUCAUUUCUCUUUUAGACGUUGAGUAUAGCUCGAGGACUAUCUCUUCAGGGAAUUGAGGAGGCCAAGAGAGCGGCUGGGGUGGAGACCUCAAUGGCUUCUAAGGACAGGAGGAUCCUUGAGCUCGAGGCUUUGUUUAAAGAGUGUGAUAACCUAAAGAGGGAGGCUACGAAGGCUCGAGACGACCUUGGUGUUGCAAAGGACGAGGAUGAGGCCGAGGAUGCGAGGUUCAAACUUCUGCAAAAGAUAAAAGAGUUCAAGGGCAAGCUCGCGGAAGUUAAGGAGAAGGUCUGAUGUGAUACGGGUUUCGCCAAAAUGAACCAAAGCAUUGGGGUUUGAUUGGAAGAAACCUAAACCAAGUUCGAGUCUUCGGGAAGCUAAUACGGAUGGCACAAUUGAUGGAUCGAGGCAUGGAGCAUACUAUGUUGAAGUCCAUGAGCUAAGUGACAACUUUUGUGUUGGGGUCGAAGUCCGAAAGCCUAUGAAACAACAUGAUUCAAGCAGCCGAAGAAGAGACCAAACUAUAACUCCAUGUGACCGCACCGUGUCGUAGGCAUGCGGUUGCACAGGUGGCUAGCGAAACUCGAGAGGCGGCAACAUCUUCAACCAUGCGACCGCACCAAGUUCUACAGUGCGAAGACGUAAAUUUUCAAUUUUUACGAAAUUUUAAUUUGAUUUAAUUUCUUAUUUUUGGCAAGUUUCAUUAUUUUAGGACUCUAGAAUUUCGUGGUUUCCUAGUUUCCUCGAGUAGCAUAAAUUAUUUUCUAUCUUUCAUUAUUGAACAGACUUUGAUUUGAGAAUUAAUUCAGAAAUGCGAUUUUUUCUUCGAGACUUUGAACUUAUCAAGGGAUCCAGUUGGGAUUUCUUGUGGCAUUCGCAACCUUGGGUGAGGUUAUUAAAUUAUGUAAUUAGGAGGUCUUGGAUUUAAUAUAUCGUUGGCUGCCUAAUUCAUUGUUUAGGAAUUAAAUCCGUAAAUUUAGAAUCAAAUUGGCGUUCUUGGGAUUGGUGUUACUCUCAUGUGGGUUCGAUAGUGUUCGUUGCUAUCCAGGUUUGCAUCAGGUGGCAUCAGAGCUUAGGCUUCAAGUUCGAAGUUAUAUCUUUCAAUUUGUGUUGAGUCAGUUUCGUUGUUUUCAUUUCGUUCUUGUGUACUUCGUUAGAGUCUUAUUUUAGAUCCGUCAAAAUACAAAAAAUAAAAAAUAAAAAAAUUCAAAGUUGUUUUUCGGGUUCAUCUAGAGUCCAAAUUCAAUUCCGUCUGUUAUGUUAGUGUCCUAAUCGUUUUCCCUUUGUAAGAGUCCACAAAAAAAAAAAAAAAAAAACUGUUCACGUCCGUACCAUCGUCACUGUUUAGCUGUCAGAAAAAUUUUUUUUAGUCCCUCCAAAAAAUUUAUUUAUUGUCUUAGUCCUUUAACUUCCUGAUUAUUGAGUCUUGAACAAUUAAUUAUUAUUUCACGAGUUUAAAGCCACCUAUUGUUCUUGAGAACACUAAACGGAGGCAAUUGAGAGGUAAAAAGCUGAGUGGUGAGAUUAUUUGAGGAAAAAAAACUAAAUUGAUUGAUUUCCGAGCGAUAUAAAAGUAAGGCAUAUAAAAUUUAGUAUUUAGGAUGUCUUGCAGCGAAGGGUCAAACUGAAGUCGGGUUGGUGCUUGAACAAAUAUGCCAGAGGAUGUGAUGUGUAGGUUUGAGCGAAUGUUGAAGGAUAUGGGUGAUAGGAUAGAAAAGAUUGACACAUCGGUUACCAAUUUGCGUAUGGAACAAACGGGUUGAGGUGCCUAAUACUAGGAAACCGGGACGGCGGGAACCGAGGGUGGAAUUUCAUGAUGAAUUUGGUUAUGGUGGUGAUGUGGAUGACAUUGGGUUCAAUGGAGUUGAAUUGGGUGGAAUGAGGAAUAAAGGAGAUAGGUUUGAACGUCGAGGUCGAAAUAAUUAUGGAGAUGACGUGGAUGGAGGUAUGGGCAACAUCAAAAUUUCCAUUCCGCCAUUUAAGGGUAGGAGUGACUUGAAGGCGUAUCUAGAAUGGGAGUAAAAGUUGGAGCUUAUCUUUGUGUGUUAUAAUUAUUCGGAGGAGAGAAAAAUGAAGCUUGCAGUUUUGGAGUUCACUGAUUACGCCAUCACUUGGUGGGAUCAGGCGAUCACUUCAAGGCGAAAGAAUGGGGAAAGACCAAUCCGAACAUGGGAUGAGUUGAAGGCAGUUAUGAGGAAGAGGUUUGUACUAGCCAUUACCAUUGGGAGCUUUAUCAACGGUUGCAGGGGUUGUACCAAGGGUCAAGAAGUGUGGAGAAUUACCACAAAGAAAUGGAAAUUUUAAUUAUUCGGGCUAAUGUAGAGGAGGACCGGGAAGCCACCAUGACACGUUUCUUGAAUGGGAUGAACCGGGACAUUGCUAAUGUGGUUGAGUUGCAACACUAUGUAGAACUUGAAGACAUGUUGCAUGUGGCGAUGAAAGUGGAGCGGCAAUUGAAGAGGAAAGGUCCGGCUAGGACUCCAUCGGGUCAUAAUUCAUCUUGGAAGCCUAGAGGGGAAGAAGAAAGGGUUGAUGAGGCUAUGGCAAACAAUAAAACCGGCACACCAAAGGCGAAUAAAGAGGUUGUUGGAAAUACUACAAACAAGAUGGGUUCACAAAAUACUAGGAGUCCGGACAUUACGUGCUUCAAAUGUUUAGGGAAGGGGUACAUUGCAUCUCAAUGUCCAAAUAAAAGAGCAAUGAUUUUGAGUGCCCACGGGGAAGUGGUUAGUGAUAGCGAUGGAGAUGGGAUGCCCGAGCUAGAGGAUGUUAGUGGUGGUGAAGUGGUGGAGUAUCUGGUAGAUGGUGAAGCACUUGUGGUUAUGCGCUCACUCAACACUCAAAUCAAGGUGGAAGGAGAUGAGCAACAACGGGAAAACAUCUUCCAUACUCGAUGCCAUGUUACAAACAAGGUAUGUGUGUUAAUAAUUGAUGGGUGAUGUUGUACAAACGUUGCUAGUACUAGGUUGGUUGAAAAAUUAUGUUUAACUACAAUUAAACACCCUAGGCCAUACAAAUUACAAUGGUUAGAUGACCGUGGAGAGGCUAAGGUGAAUAAACAAGUAGUUGUUAAUUUUUCUAUUGGGAGUUAUAAGGACGAGAUGUUGUGUGAUGUGGUGCCUAUGGAUGCGGGUCAUAUUUUGUUAGAUAGGCCAUGACAAUAUGAUCGAAGGGUAAGGCAUGAUGGGUUUAAAAAUUGGUAUAGCUUUGAAAUGGGUGGAAAAUCUAUUUUGCUUGUACCAAUGACGCCGCAACAAGUGUAUGAUGAUCAAGUGAGGUUGAGAGGUGAGAAUGUGAGAAAAAAUACAGAUAAACAAAAUGAGAGCUCGAGAGAAACUGAAGAGGUGGCUAGGAGUGAUAUAAAUUGAGUGGGGCCACAAGAAAGAAAAGAACGAGCACUUAAGCGGAGAGAAAAUUAUGAAGCGAGUUUCUUCGUGAAAAAAUGUGAGUCUGAGCGGGAGUUGGAGAAGUCUAACACAUUCCUCCUUAUUUUGUAUAACUCUUUGAUGCAGGACUAUGAGACGUUGAUGCAUUCGGAUUUUCGUAAAGGGAUAACACCUUUUGAAUAUCCAAUCGAUGCAUCGCAUUUGGAGAGCAUCAUGAACUUCGACGAUGAGACUAUCUUUCAUGGCAUUACGGGGUUCAAAAAUAUCAAUCAAGGAGUGGACAAGGGGCCAAGUAUUUGAACCAGGUGCAGAUUUGAGGUCGAAUCCUCUCAAAUAGGGAGGGGAUCAUGUGAUACGGGUUUCACCAAAAUGAACCAAAGCAUUGGAGUUUGAUUGGUAGAAACCUAAACCAAGUUCGAUCUUCGGGAAGCUAAUACGAGUGGCACAAUUGAUGGAUCGAGGCACGGAGCAUACUAUGUUGAAGUCCAUGAGCUAGUGACAACUUUCGUGUUGGGGUCGAAGUCCGGAAGCCUAUGAAACAACGUGAUUCAAGCAGCCGAAGAAAGGAUCAAUCCAUAACUCCAUGUGACCGCACCGUGUCGCAGGCAUGCGGUCGCACAGGUGGCUAUCAAAACUCGAGAGGCGGCAACAUCUUCAACCAUGCGACCGCACCAAGUUCUACCAUGCGGUCGCAUGGGCAAAACCGAAGACGCGAAUUUCCAAUUUUUGCGAGAAUUUUAAUUUGAUUCAAUUUCUUAUUUUUGAUAAGUUUCAUUAUUUUAGGACUCUAGAAUUUCGUGGUUUCCUUGUUUCGUAGGGUAGUAUAAAUUAUUUUCUAUCUUUCAUUAUUGAACAGACUUUGAUUUGAGAAUUAAUUCAGAGAGGCAAUUUUCUUCCAAACCUUUGUUUUUCGGGACUUUGAACUUAUCAAGGGAUCCGGUUGGGAUUUCUUGUGGCGUUCGGAACCUUGGGUGAGGUUCUUAAAUUGUGUAAUUAGGAGGUCUUCGAUUUAAUAUAUCGUUGGUUCCCUAAUUUAUCGUUUAGGAAUUAAAUCCGUAAACUUCGAAUCAAAUUGGCGUUCUUGGGAUUGGUGUUACUCUCGUGUAGGUUCGAUAGUGUUCGUUGCUAUCUGGGUUCGCAUCAAGGUCUGGUAGGAGUUCAAAACCUCCGAGGACCGUGACAAGACUAAGGAUGAGUACGCGUUGGGGGCGUACUUCCACGCUCUCAAGGAGGCCCGGGCCUUCCUCCAUGCGAAUUUACUCGACGUCACCCCAGAUGACCUAAAGACGGUGCCUUCUAUCGCCGAUACUCUAGAGCUCUUGGGGUCGGAGGAUGGAGGAGCAGGUGGGGACGAUGAUGAGGAAGGCCUUGAUGACGACGUGCAGAAUGACAUCCACAACCUCGACCCUCUCCUUGGUCAUAUAGGAUAGUGUCCCCACCUCAAUCUCUUAUUUGUAAUUUUGGACAAGUUUUUUGCUCGAUGAUUAUAAAACAUUUUUGCUAGUGAAUGAACAUCUCCUUCAUGUAUAAUUUUGACGUACUCGAGGCCACACACAUCUCGAGCACACUAAAUUUAUAAAAGAUGUAAUUUUGCAUGUGAUGUCCUCAGGUUAUUAUUCUCGAGCAUCUAGUUUUUAGGCAUUGCCUUUCCUAUAAUCUCGAGCAUAAAAAAUCUUUAACUCUUAGAGACAUCCUCGAGCAUAUUAAAUUUAAAAGGAUAUUAUCUCGCAAGUGAUGUCCUCGAUAUAACAUCAUCGAGCAAUAUUUUUAGUGUAAGAGUAGCCUAGUAUAAUGAUUGAUGACUCUUGUUCGUAUUCGUCUCGAGGACUAUUCAGGUUUGGGAACUAUAUUGGUGUUCCCUUUGUUGAGGCCUUGGAGGACGUAUACCAAACACCACAAGGAAUGGGACACCUGCAGUCACCAUUAACCUGAGGAAUGGUAUCACUCAUCGAGGACAUUCGUCAUUGUAUGUCUCGAGCACGCUACUCGUGUAUUUCGUUUUGAAGAUUUAGGGGGAGCAAUGCGACUGACCACAUCCCAGGGGCAUGCAAGGUGGCGCUGCAUGUGAUAUCUUGACGACAUGGAGCAAGAUCAUGUCACGAGGACUCCAGUGCUUGAGGACAUAAAGUCAAACCGUAUCUCGAGGACAUGGGUUUAGGUGAUAUCUUGAGGACACUUAGUUGGACCACAUCUCAAGGACUUUCAGUGAAAAACUCUCGAGGACACAGAUUCAAAUCAUAUCUCAAGGACACUGAGGAUGUUAAUUCUCGAGCCUUGUCAAUCGAAGCCGUUUGUAGAUCUAGGUGUUGAUGUGUUCGGGCAUAUCGCGUUGCUCGGGAUUUUCUCUUGGUGUUAUUUUAUGAAUCAAAGCUUCUUAUGGACAGGGCAUGGCUUUGUACGCUUGCACAGGGCAAGGCUUUUUGUGCUUGCGUGGGGCAAGACUUUUAGUACUUGUAUGGGGCACGGCUUUGUGUGCUUGCACGGGACAAGGCUUUUAGGUGCUUGAGCAGGACAAGGCUUUUUGUUGCUUACUCGGGGGCAACGCUUUUUGUGGCUUACUCGGGGGCAAGGCUAUGUGUGCUUGCACGGGGCAAGGUUUUUAGUGCUUGCGCGGGGCAAGACUUUUAGAUGCUUGCGCAGGAUAAGGAUUUUUAUUGCUUGCUCGAGGCAAGACUUUUUGUUGCUUGCUCGGGGACAAGGCUUUGUAUGCUUGCACGAGGCAAGGCUUUUAGUGCUUGCGCGGGGCAAGGCUUUUUUUUGUAAUGUGAUAUAUCAUCGAAUUUAACUUUAGCUGUAAUAUACUUUAUAAAUGAACUUAGCACGUAGGCUUGAAAAAAAUAGUCUUGGCACGUAGGCUAGACAAAUGAUAAAAAAUUGAUUUGGCACGCAAACCUUAUUAAUGAUAAAAAUUGACUUGGCACGUAGGCGUUAUUAAUGAUAAAGAAUUGAUUUGGCACGUAGGCCUUAUUUCUGAAACAUGGUGGAGUGAGUUACUUGUAAUAUACCUUUAAGUUUUUGGCAUUCCAUGGUCUUGGGAGUGGUCUUCCCGAAGUAUCCUUCAAACUGUAUGCACCUCCUAGGAGUUGUCGUAUGACAUCAAAGGGCUCUUUUCAAACUGGAUCGAGUUUUUUCGGAGCAUGACCAGCGGCUUUGGCCCUUCUUAACACCAAAUCUCCAGCUCUGAAUCUUCAUGGCCUUACCUUUCUAUUGAAAUAUUUUGCUGCUCUGUCUUGGUAAGAGGCCAUUCUUAAGGCUGCCUGAUCGCGAACUUCUUCCAAGAGGUCGAGAUGUUCGGUGGUGCGCCCUGCUUCUUCGAGUUCAAGUCUUCUUUUACUGGGUAACCUUAUUUCAAUGGGAAUGGUAGCUUCGAUUCCGAAAGCUAACAUGAAGGGGGUCUCCCCAGUGGCAGUCAUGUGGGAUGUUCUGUAAGUCCAAAGUAUGGAGGGCAACUCGUCGGACCAGGCACCUCUUGCAUCUCCAAUCCUGGAUCAGAGGUCUUGCAAUAUAAUCGGAUUGGUGACUUCGGCUAGACCAUUACUUUGGGGAUGAGAACUGAUCUCAAAUCUCUAUAGAGGAGUUUUAACUGCUUUGAGCUGUUUAGGAGAGAUCCCCAUUUUAGUGAGAGCCUCCUGCGAAAGUAUAUUUGCUGCACUCCCAUUAUCAACUAGAAUCCUCUUUACUUCGAAAUUAGCCACAAUUGCAAAGACGACCAAGUCAUCGUCAUGAGGAUAUGAUACUCCUUCCAAAUCUCUUGCUCCAAAGGUAAUAUCUUUGAGUUUAUCAUGGGAUUUCUUUGAGGUAUGAGCAGUUGGCGGGCAUAUUACUUUCGCCUACUACUGUGUCUCCUCAGAUAUUAUGCCUCCAAUGAUGAUAAUAAUGGUCCCGACAGUGGGUUGAGCAUUUCUUCCGGCUCCAGGAUCUUUCCGAUUGUCACGGUCAUUCCUCGGGCGUUUAUUAUAACCAAUAUAAUUCCUUAACAGCCCUCUUUUAAUAAGGGCUUCAAUUUCCCGCUGCAAGGCUUGACAAUCCUCCGUGGUAUGCCCAUGAUAUCAAUGAAAUUCACAAUACUUGCUCCUAUCUCUUGUGUUCGGGGACAACUUCAUUCUCUAAGGUCACCUCAACUCUUUCAUAUCUUUGAUCUCCAUUAAGAUAUUUACCUUCGAGGUGUUCAACCGGGUGAGAGGCUCUGGUGGCCCUUCAUUCUUGCCCUUUUCCCGAGGAUGCUCUUGUCCAAAAAUGAGAUCAUGUUGCUUCCUGCUCUCGUUCUUUUCAUGGGAAGGACCAGAUCUCCUUGGAUUCAGCAUUUCCUCCAUAUUAAUGUAUUUUUCAGCUCGGGGUGAGGAGCUCGAUCACUGUUUGUGGUCGGGUCUUUGAUAAGGACAUCUUGAAGACUUCACACCUUAUGGCGUAUAUGAGGGCAGAGACAGCCGCCGUAAGAAGAAUAUUUCAAUUUGUUGAGCUGGGAAUAUGACAAUAUCUCUGGCGUGAAUGGGGUCUUAGGGGUAAAACCCGUUGGCCCCCGAGUAUUCCGUUGCAGGCCAGCUGUAAUUCCUUCUUGAACGAUUCGGGCAAUCUCUCCAAAAUUCAUAGCAACCGACCUCGAGCCCUAGGCCAUAUUAUAAAUACCCGAGGUUCCUACUCCGCUAAUUGCGGGGUUUGGUGGUCAGUCUUAAGCACCAGCCAUAAAAGCACCAUGCUCUGCCUACGUAGCUCUUCGAAGGCUUCAGUUGUGACGAUUGCUUGUUAGGGUGCGGGCACUUCUGACGACUCUUCUUGAGGAGCCAGUUGAUCUUCAGUAGGAUGAGGGACGGAAGCGGAUGAGCUUGCGGGAGGAAGACUUGAUCGCGUGUUAACCAUGACUUUUGGCAGCGUUUUCCACAGAAGGUGCCAAUGAUGCUACCAAAAAUCGUACAUGUUGAUUUCCCGAACUUGAGGAGUUUGAAUGAGCACAAUCGUAGUUUUUCAGUACCUGAAACAAAUACAACAAGAUAUGUUCUCGUCACCCCUCCGAUACUUAAGUCAGAAAGGAAAUUAUGUGCAUGAGGUAUAAACUUAGAAUAAUGUGAAUGUACCUGAAUAAUGUCCAAGAUUGGUGUUUAUAGAGGUAGGUAGUGUACUCCUAGUAGGAUUGUGCCUGUUGGACGUAUUUAUCCAAUAGAGUCCUGUUUGAGAAGAAUGUCUUAUUCGUAAUAGAAUUUUAUGAUAGGUGGUGUUAGAGUUGAUAAAGAGUCCUCGGGGGUUUAGGUGUCUGUUCGUCAACCAUAUACAUAUAUAUCGAGGACCUCUCAAUGAAUACUUACCCGAGGACAUAUUCUCAAGAAAGUAAGAGGUGAGUUUCCAUAGUCAUGUGAGUAAGUCCUCGAGGAUGCAAUCCUCGAGGAUUAAAAUAGUCAUCGAGGACUAACAUAUCUCGAGGACCUCUUGGCAGAAAAGUGGGGCGGAACACGUAGGCGGUCCUCGAGGAAUAGUCCUCAGGGUUUGGAAUAUUGGUACUAUCACCACCUAAUGAACAUGGCUAACUAAUUGCUUUGAAGUAAAGCAUAUUUUGUCCAAUUGAAUUAAGGAUAAUUAGCACAAAAUAUUCACAUUGUUUGCACUCCUUGUACAAAUCAUCCCUAUCGUUUCAAACCUGACAAUUGCACCUUCAUUUCAAUAUUUUCUUGCGGAGUUGGACCUUUCCAUCUCUUUUUGUCAAUUCCUUCAAUCAAAUAUGAAUAAUUGGUGCAAAACUUUGCAUUCACUGCACAAAAAAUCCAUACCAUUUAUUUUCUCCAUUAAAACAUUGUAAAAUCACCAAUUCACCCUCCUCUUUAAAUAAAUAAAAAGAAAAGAGAUAAAUAACAUAAAAAAUAAAUUACUGUCGAUAGAGUUCCAACUUUUAAAAAAAUUAUAAACAAAUCUCACGUAAAAUAAUUUAAAAAAUACUCACAAAAUAAAAAAAUACUUCAUCUUCCUAUUAAACCCCACCUAUCCUCCACCAUCACCAAAAUAAGUAAAAACUGUGUGAGAAGUGUAAAAAGUAGUAAGAAAAGAAUUUAACUAUUUUUCCGUAAUUAUGUUUCGUUUACAAAUAUCGUUUUGUUUUCAGCAUAGUUACAAUAAUUUAUUUUUAUUUUUAUUUAUUUUAAAAAAUGUAGCUAUUUUUAGCAAUUUAUUGUUUCUAUCUUAUUGUUGCUAAUUACACACUUCAUUAACUUUUAAAUUUUGCUCUAAUUUUGUUCCAAUUACCUUUGCCUCAGAAUGAUUUCUCUAAAAAAAUCCAAAACUCUAGAUAGGAUAUACUCCUUAAAAAUAAAAAUUAUCUCGAGAGUACUACAAAAAUAUAUACAAAUAAAACAAGUUUUAGAAGCUGUUUGGCCCCCAUUACGGGGAAAAUUUAAUGUAUAGAAUAGUGUUUUUUGAAAAAUGAGUGGUUGAAAAAGAAAGAAAAAUUUUCGAUUUACGUGUAAUAUUAUUUUAUGGAAGAUUGUGUGGUUAAAAAUAGGAGAGAGAAAAAUAGAAUGUAAUGUAAUGAAAAUCAAACAAGGGCUUAUUCAACAAACAUAGAUAAUUACACUUCAAAAGUCAACCAUUUCACCCAAAAACACAGUUGUGAAAUAACAUGCACCAAUUCAUAUGCACGCAUACAAAUACGUGAGCCUUCAAAUCAAUUUCUUGAUGUUUAUCGUCUUUAACCAGAAAUCUCAAUGGCUUUGACAUCAGGCUUCUUCACCUCCUCUUUGGGCACAGUUACAGUUAGCACACCAUUCUCCAUGCUGGCCUUAACCUGAUCCAUUUUCGCAUUCUCCGGCAGCCUGAACCGCCGGAGGAAUUUGCCAGAACUCCUCUCCAUACGGUGCCAGGUAUCAUUCUUCUCCUCUUUCUCCCUGCUCCUCUCGCCACUAAUCUGCAGUAUGUUACCUUCCUCAACCUCAACCUUUACUUCCUCUUUCUUCAGCCCCGGAAGGUCGGCCCUAAAUACGUGGCCUUCCGGCGUCUCCUUCCAGUCAAUCCUAGUGGCAGCAAACUGAGAUGUCUCGUUGGAAAGGUCGGAACGAAUCUGAGUGGACAGGGCAGAACUGAACGGCCAGUCUUGAAAGGGGUCGAGAGAAAAUGGAUCCCAGAUAUUGUUUCGUCGGCCAAAAACACUUGGAAUUAGCGACAUUUUUCCGAAAAAUUAAAUGGAAGAUUUACAUAAUUUAGUUGUAGAUUGUAGUGUGAUCAAACUGUGAGAAAACUAAAUAUUGUUCGAUGGAACUCGUCGUGAUGUAGAAAAUUGGAAGUGGAAGAAUUUAUAGGAGAGCAUACGGUUGAAUGUGCAAGUUACAUGAAAAAUAUGGAGAGUUCGCGAGCAUUCGGGGAGAAAUAUCCAUCUUCAAAAACUUUUCCACAAUAAGAUAUUCUAGAGCAGCCUAGAAAUGUUUGUUUAAUAUUACCAAUUUUAGGUGGACACGUGUCUUAACUCCACCCCCACCCGCCUUCUCAUUUUUUAGGUUUUAGCCUUUGUUUGGUACGCUAAAACAUCAAAUUUAAAUUUAAAUCAAAAUAAAUAAUUAAUUCUAGCAAAUUUGUCAGUGGAGAUUUUAAUUUAAAUUUAAAUUCACAAUUAAUUUUAACCACACAUUUUAUGUGAUCCAUAAUUUUUAAACCAUACAUUUCAUCAACUUUUAUCAAAAUUUAUUAAAAAUUUAAUUUUUUUAAUCCUCACCAGUUGCGUUAGCGUGGCGACCUGCUGACGUAAGGUCUCUUUGGAUUACAAUAUCUUUUUGACAAUAUUACAACAAUAGCUUACAUUAAUUAGAACAAACGAGUGUAAGGUCUCUUUGGAUUGUAACAAUAGACACGCAAGUGCACGUGCUUAUUAAUGUUUCAAGUAACUUUAUGUGCUCGUAUAUUUACAUACGUCCUAAUCCAUCAUACACAUAAUAGAACAUCCAUUCUCAAGCUUUUACGUAAGUCUCGAAGUUAUGAAAAAUGACUUUUUUAAGCAUGUGUGAUUAAAAAGCGGGAAAAAAAUAUAUCCCAUGUGCAAAAGAAUUUCAAAACUAUUACUUCAAAGAGAUUUUUGUUGUUUCCAUGCCUAGUAUCUUUACUACAAGCAAAGAAAUUGAUGGAAAAACAUUCAUGUACUAGUUUAAAGGAUUUUGUAAACCCAUUAUCAGAGGAUUUACCUGGUGCUUCGCGUGACAGUCGAGUAAAUUUUACAAUUGAUUUAGUACCAGGAACGAGGCCAGUAUACAACACUACCUGCCAAAUAACACCAAAGAAAUUGUAGGAGUUCAAAAUACAAUUACAAAAAUGAAAUAUGGAUCGAUAAUUUUGCGUAUAAAUGAUUGGGAGUUGAAUAGUUUAACCAUUAAGAAAAAAUAACAUAUUUCAAGAAUAGAAGAUUUUUUCGACAAGUUGAAGGGAGCUAAGAUAUCUUAUAAGAAUGGCUCAAGGUCACGAUAUCUUGAACUGAAUGUUAACUCAUGUGACAUUCUAAAGAUGGAAUUCUGAAAUUGCUAUACGGGCACUAUAAAUUUCUGGUCAAUUUAUAUUUAUAUCUUUUAGUGUAAUUAAUGUUUCGGCAUUUUCUUGGAUCUAAUACUAGAGUUGUUCAUCAAUAUCUAGAUCAAAUUAUUAUAGUAUUCACUAGCGACAUUAUGUUGUAAUCUAUAGGAUAAUUGGUAGCAAGAGAAGCAACUCGAAAUGGUGUAGUACACAUUGCACAUAGAGAAGUUAUAUCCCAAAUUCAAGAAAUGUGAAUUUUUUCUUGAUCGAAUAGGUUUCCUCAAUCAUGUUAUGACUUACUAUAGAAUCAAAGUUGAAUCGACUAAUUUGGAAGUUGUGAACAAUUCUAGACCACUGAACGUUAACGAAGUUUGUGGCAUUUUAGGAUUGCCGGACUAUUAUCAAAUAUUAAUAGAUGUUUUCACUAAGAUGGCUAGAUCGAUGACUCAUUUGAUAAGAAAGGCAUUAAGUUCUAGUAUAUAAAUGUGAAUAUAGCUCCCCAAGAGUUAAAAACAGUGUUUAGUUAUAGCAACAAACUUUUUUUUUUUAUUAUUUUUUUUAUUUUUAAUGACGGGAUAACCCACAACCGCUAUCUUUCGGGGUGCGAACUGGGUAAAACCUCGGGCUGACACAAUAGCCUGCAAACCAUGCCAGCCAAAUAAAUCGUACUAGGCAAGCCCGGUACGACAUGUUCAACUGAAAAAGUGUUGGUAGAGAAAAUCGAACUCGUGAUUAAAGGCCUUCGAGUUCACCUACUUCACCAACUCAGUCACCCCAUGAGGGUCUAGUUAUAGCACCAAUCUUGACAAUACUGGCUGAGGGUUUAUAGUUUUUUGAAAUGUUGUAUAAUGACCCAAUUUUCAUCUUUAUCUACUACAAUUUUUUAAUUUAUCAAAUUUGCCACCUAUAGAACAUGGCUAACUAAUUACUUUGAAUUAAAGAAUAUUUUCUCCAAUCGAAUUAAGGGUAAUUAGCAAAAAAUGUCCACAUGAUUUGCACUCAUUGUGCAAAUCAUCCCUAUCAUUUCAAAUUUGACAAUUGCACCCUUAUUUCAACAUUUUCUUGCGGAGUUUAACUUUUCUGUCUUUUUUUGUUAAUUCCUUCUUUCAAAUAUAGAUAAUUAGUGCAAAAUGUUCCAAUCGCUCGUCUUAAUUGUGCAAAACAUCCCUAUCACUAGCAUUCAUUGCACAAAAAGUCCUUACAAUUUAUUUUCUCCAUUAACAUAUUGUGAAAUCACUAAUUUACUCUCAUCUUUAAAUACAUAAAUGGAAAAGAGAUAAAUAACAUUAAAAAUAAAUAAUUGUAGAUAGAGUUCCAAUUUUUUAAAAAAUUAUAAAUGGGCCUCACAUAAAAUAACUUUAAAAAAUACUCACAAAAGAAAAAUAUUUCAUCUUUCUAUUUAACCCCACCUACCCCUACGUCCAUCCUCCACCCACCGCUAUCACCAAAAUAAUUAAAAAGCGUAUUACAAGUAUAAAAAACAAUAAGAAAAGAAUUUAACUAUUUUUCUAUAAUUAUGUUUCGUAUUCCAAUAUCUUUUUGUUUACAACAUAGUUACAGAAUUUUUAUUUUUUUUUAUUUUUUCAUUUUUAAGAAUUUAACUAUUUUCAGUAAUUUAUUGUUUCUAUCUUCUUGCUAAUUGCACACACUACAUUAAUUUCUAAAUUUUGCCCUGAUUUUGUUCAAAUUACUUUUGCCUUGCAAAUGAUUUCUGAAGAAAGUUCAUUCAAGAUCUUAAUCCAAACCUCAAUUCUAAUUGUUCUAAUUCAAACUCAGCUAAAAGAAAAAUAUUUUUUUAAUAUAAUUAAUAUUAUUUUAAUUGGAAUUCGUUUUCACUUUUUGAAAAUCUUAGGACUUUGACUUCAUUUAUUUCUUUUCUAUUUUUUUUUUAUUCGAAGAAGAGGUAAAUUAAUUAUUUUACGAUACUUUAACGGUGAAAAUAAACGAUAGAGGCUUUUUACACAUUAAUGAAGGCAAACGAUAAGAGCAUUUUGCGUAAUCAAAGCAAGUGAUAUGAGAUUUUUGUACCAAUUACCCAUAUUUGAUGGAAUGAGACAAAAAGGACCAAUAUGUGAGAGAAUAUUAAAAUAAAAGUGUAAAUAUCAAAUUUAAAAUGAUGGAGAUGUUUGCUUACAGUCUAACGAUUUUUUUACACUAUUAAUUUCAAUUAUUCACCCCACUUAAGUAAGUCCAAAUGAUACUAGAAGGAUGCUAAAUUUAAUUAAGAAAUUAAAAUUAAAGUAUUCAGCCUAAACGAGAAGCCUGGAAUAGAAACUGCAAUGUCUCCCAGGAAAAAAAAAAAAAGGAUAAAAGAUUUUUGUACAUAAUUUUUUAUACAUAAAAAUAUCAAUUCUCUCACGUGCCGUGAGGUCCACUUGAAUAUUUUAUUCGAGCGGCCCCACCUAUGGGAGAGGAUGAACACCCCUAUGUACCAAAAAUUAUGUACCUCUAGCAUUUAUCGCAAAAAAAUCGUAAAUAUACGACCUUGAAAGGAAAAAGGAAAAAAAAAUCCCGAUCCGAAUCGUCCCGCCACGGCUAGUCAACUACAAAGGCAUUUUUAGCUCAGCUUAGGCCCUGUUUGACACCUUUUAGUUUAAUUUUUGCUACAGGAUCAUUUUCAACUACACAUUCACACAAUAAAAUAUUGUACACGUAAAUCCAUAACCUUUUUCAUCAUUUUCAAUCACACAUUCUCCAAAAUAAUACAUUUUAAACUAUGUUUUUAGAGUUUUAGGGCCACCGAACAAGGACUAGAUGGAAUGUGAAGAAUACAUUCUUUUGGAGACUUAAGCUGUCAUUGAAAUCGAAUAAUGCUGAGUGUAUACUCUUUUUAAUAGCUCAUUCACAAUCGUGAAGUCUGCAAUUAUUUUAAUCGUGGACCCUGUUAUGCCCCUAACCGAACCACUUCAGAACAUCAGGCACACCACUCCCUGAAGUGCCACGUCUCCAUCCGAAGUGGUUUGGAAGUGAUCCGACGACCCUCAACUUCAUGCGCUGCGGGGCGCAGGAUAGAUCCACUGAAUCAACCGAAGUCUUCCCUAAUGCCGAAGCGUUAGGCACUUCGAGGUGCUCAUUUAACAGAUCCCUCCGUCACCACUUUCAGAAAGAUAUCUAUGUCAAGAUCCUCUCUACCUCCAAGGAUUAAUUGAUGUGACGUCUCCAUAGAUCUAGUUGAUGUGACGUAUCAACUUUAUGUCAACUUGACUCAAAAGAAUUAAUUGUCCGCCCACUCUAGAUGCGGCUGAUUAACGCCUAUGAGCAAACGUCUCACACUGUCAGAUGCAUAUACGUGGUCAACAUCCAACGGUGCUCCACGUCUAUAAAUACCCAAGGCUUGGCAAGGGGGAAAGGUAAUGAAACUUUCACAACUUAGCUCUCCAUACUAAGAAAUAAUUAUAUUCUCCUCCCCACUCUCCUGUACAAUUUGAGCAUUGUUCCAAUCACAUAAAACUGACUUGACCGUCGGAGUGUAUGCGACCGUCAUCACCCCCGUUGGUUUCGGCCGUAUGUUUCUAACCGUGCGUUGUCGUGCCCAGGGAGGAUUACGUGGAGUGGCUAUUCGUUGGCCACGUUGAUGGUCUAAUUCGUGAGGCCAACAGAUUGACGCCAUCUGUGGGAAAUUUCCAAUCCAAAAGUUCCAUAUUUUCCGUCAGAAAAGCCAUCGGGAAACCGUUAACUUAUCUUGAAAAGGGUAUGUUCUUGAAAAAGAACAAAGUCAACCUAGAAUCUAAGUUCUUAACACCCUUGAAAAAGUAGUGGAGAAGAUGAGUUCUAGUAAUGAGGAUGCAAAUCUUGGGUUUAGAGAUGCCUCUGAAGAAGAGGUGCUUCGUAACAAUGUCACUCACCAGAGACCCCAUCACCGGCAUCACCGAGGUGAAAGAACAGCCAUGCUAACUAAAGGAAUGGCUAAAAUAGCUGCAGGCAUGAGAUAUAUUGCAGCUCAGAAUGUGGUGAUGCGUAAAUUUUUCAUGUAGGCUCAAAGUCAUCAGGGCUUCUAGAUGCCCCAAGGAUCUUACCCAGCUCAAGAAAUUCCGUCAUCUCAUGGCCCAGGCCAUUCGAGCCAACGUAGGGAACACCCCCUCGAAAGAGAAAUGGGUGUAGAUGUCACAUCCUAUGCACAGGGGAGCCAACCAGCAGAACCACAACUAGGAGAGAACUUUCCACCAGAAUAUGAACUAGAAAGGUCGAUCAGUAUCUUCGACCGAAUAGGGCUGAACCCUAGUGAUAGGGCUUGUUCCGUGCAAAAAUCAGUUUGGCAAGAACAAGAAAAACAAGCACCUCCUCCAGCUAGAAAUAGGCGGGAGAGAAAUAACUUAGUCAAUUGGGGUAGUUGAGGGGGAGCACCUCCACCUCCCCAGAACGUGCAAAAUGAUGAAGGCUCCAAGGGGCCAUGUCGAUCUUAUGAAAUUGAUGAUGAUGAUGACAACAUCCCUUUCAAAAAGGAGAUCCGGAGCUUCCCAAUGCCUCAAAAUUUCAUGCCCCUUAAAAUCCCAAAGUAUGAGGAAAAUAGGGACCCGGAAAAGCACCUCGCCAAAUACAUGACACAGAUGAGCCUCAAAUGAGCGUCACCCUCAUUGAAAUGCAGGGCCUUCCAUCUAACCCUCGUCGGAGCCGCCAAAGUGUGGUACAGCAGACUGCCUCCCCUGAGCAUUAGGAGUUGGCCAAAUUUGAAGAAGACAUUUUUGAACCAGCACCUCUCACGAAAAGAGGGAGAGGCCCCAGUGCAACGCCUGCAAGAUAUGAGGCAGGCCCCUGGAGAGAUGCUGAAAAGCUACCUCGUCAGGUUUACUAAAGAAAUCACAUACUGCAAGCAAGUCACUAAUAGAGAGGCCCUUUCAGCCUUAAAGGUGCCCUUAACAUAAACACUUUGUUCUGGAGAGAUGUACACUACAAGAAUCCUACCUAUGACGAAUUGAUAGAAAUGAUGAGAGUGGAGAUUUUCAAUGAAGAGAUGAUUGACCACCAAAAUCGUGCAGCGUAGGGACUCCCUCCGCCUUAGAGGCAGGUAGGUCGAGGACCAGCAAUGCAUUUCAUCACGCAGCAAUGGACCCAAGCAGGACACACAAUAGCUCCCACAUCCGGACAAGCAUUGGCUUCUGCCACGCUAAAUGUAAUGCUGGUAUUGGCAUAUGAGAAUGUCCCUAUCGAGGCAGGACCAUUUGAAGGCACAAACAACAAUCGAAAGAAGAAGAAGGAGCGAUCAAACAGACUCCUAAAAGGGGCAAGGUUUUGUACCUUUCACCAACUUCACGGACACGACACCAGCGAAUGUAGGGAUGCUCAUCAAUCCUCAAAUUGGAGUAAUCCACGCUCCUCAAGAAGGGGUGAAUAUCCACGCUGGUCCAUAUCCCCGAAUAGGAAAGAAAGGCUGUAUAGAGACCAAUCACCCCGAAGGAAAGAAUCCAGAGACAGAGGAGAAUCUAGGCAUAGGGAUCAGGCCCCAUCUAGAGACUAAGUCAUCAGGGAACUUGAUACAAUCAUUAGAGGGCCUCACAUCGGAGGCAACACUAUGAACGCCCAGAGGAACUACACAAGGGAAGCAAAUGAUCUACCAAUGAUUACUUAAAUUGUCAAUCAGACCCAAGACACUAACAGGAUGGCCCCAAUCACUUUCUCUCAAGAAGAUGCACAAGGAGUUCAUCACCCCCAUUGUGAUGUAUUAGUGGUAAGAGCCAUAGUAGCUCGAAACAGACUCAAGCGCAUGCUCGUUGAUAAUAGCAACUCGGUGAAUAUGCUGUUCAGAUCCACCUUUGACAAAAUGUAGAUAGAACAUGGGUUGCUCUCCAUGACCGACCCUCUAUUUGGGUUGACCUGUCUUGAAAGAUCUUUGGGCAGUCACCUCCAUCCAUUACUUGUGUAUGAAGCUACCAACUAAGCAUGGGAUUGCUACAGUUCGAGGUGACCAGAUGGGCUCAAGAGCAUGUUACCUCAACUCUCUGUGAAAAUUCGAGCCUCGCAUUGUUAAUGUCAUUAUAACAAAGGUUGCCAAUGAAGCUGACGUGGACGUGGAAAUGCUCGACGCUCCUGAACAAGGGCAUACCUCCGAAUAGGAAGAAGAUGUCGACAUGGCUGAGGCCCCUGAAGAAGGGCACCCUUUUAAUGAGUUGGAUCCUCGAAUUAUCGAGUCUGAACCAAAUGUGACCCCAAUGAAGAACUGGAAACUUUUUCCACCAACGCUGAGGACCCUACUCAGGUCUUGCGGAUUGGAAAAGCACUAUCCCCGAAGUGAAGGAAGAAAUGAUGAACUUCCUGAAAAGAAACCUGGAUGUCUUCGCUUGGAAACACAAAGACAUGGUAGGAAUAGACCCUAAGGAUCAGUUGUCAUCAUCUUAACACCAACUCCUCUUGUGUCCCCACAUCGACAGAAAAGAUGAGCCCUCAACUUCGAGCGAUAUGAGGCGCUCAAAGAAAAAGCUAACAAACUCAGUCGCAACGGCUUCAUUAAAGAAGCCAUCUAUCCGAAGUGGAUAUCCAACCCGAUUCUCGUGAAGAAACCUAGUGGAAAAUGGAGGGUGUGUGUAGACUUCACAAAUUUGACCAAGGCAUGCCCUAAUGACAGCUUCCCUCUCUCAAGGAUAGACCAACUGGUGGACUCGACUAUUGGACAUGAGCUCUUGAGUUUCAUGGAUGCAUACUCAGGGUACAACCAGAUACCCAUGUUUUGACCUGAUGAGGAAUCCACAUCGUUCAUCACAGACAGAGGAUUGUAUUGCUAUAGGAUGAUGCCUUUCGGAUUGAAAAAUGCCAGAGCUACAUAUCAGAAGCUGGUCAACAUGACGUUUGCCGAGCUCAUUAGCAAAACCAUGGAAGUCUACGUAGACGACAUGCUAAUUAAAAGUCUCCAGGCAAAAGAACACUCAAGUCACCUCGAUCAGACUUUUCAGAUUCUUAGAAAGUAUACAAUGAAAUUGAACCCUCUCAAAUGCACCUUCGGGGUAGCUUCGAGUCAAUUUCUGGGAUAUAUUGUAAACCAAAGAGGAAUUGAGGUGAAUCCGAUAAAAAUAAAGGCCUUACUAGAAAUGACGUCACCUCAGAAGUCAAAGAAGGUCCAAAGCCUCAAUGGUCGAAUAGCCGCGCUCAGUCGCUUCAUCUCCAGGGCCACUGACAAGAGCCUACCCUUCUUUAAAGUCUUGAAGUAAAGAAAGAAGUUUCAAUGGACAGAUAAGUGUGAAAAAGCCUUCCAAGCACUGAAAAAGCACUUAGGGAAGGCACCCCAACUAUCUAAACCUGAACCACGAGAACCACUGCUGUUGUACUUAGUGGUAUCAGACGAGGCUGUCAGCGCAGUCAUUGUCAGAGAGGAAAAUACGCAUCAAUUGUCAGUAUACUAUAUUAGCAAGGCCCUACUCCAAGUAGAGACACGCUACCCAGAUAUGGAGAAGCAUGCACUCUCCCUUGUUACAACAUCAAGGAAGUUGAGGCUGUACUUUCGGGCUCAUUCAAUCGAAAUUCUCACAAACUUCCCAUUAAAACAAGCGUUGUAGAGAACAGAAGCUUCGAGUCGUCUGCUAAAAUGGACAAUCGAGCUCAUGGAGUUCGACCUAUUGUUCCGACCUCGAAAUUCCAUCAAGGACGAGGCCUUCGCAGAUUUUGUGGCUGAGUUUGCCAAAGCCCCAGAAAUGGAGGUGACAAUGAAACCAGCCGAUCCCUCAACAUGGAAUCUAUUUGUGGACGGAUCGUCAAGAGAGACUGGCUCUGGAGCAGGAGUCGUUUUGGAAAGCCCAGAGGGUCAUAAGCUAAACUGUGCAGUCAGGUUCGGCUUCAAAGCCUCGAACAACAAGGCGAAAUAUGAGGCUCCUCUAGCAGGCCGUAGAUUAGCGAAAGAAAUGCAAGUUAAAAGGCUCAUAACAAGCAGCGACUCGCAGCUUAUGGUGAGUCAGGUCAAUGAAAAGUUCGCAGCCAAAGACUGUGGCAUGGCAGCGUAUCUGAAAUUGGUUCUGAACCUAGUCCCUCACUUUGAGAGAUUUGAAUUGAUUCAAGUCCCACGCCUCGAAAAUGGACACGCUGAUGCCCUGUCCAAGUUGGCCAAUAGCAGGGAUUCAGAGCUGCUAAAGAUUGUCCCAAUUGAGUGCCUACUGAAGCUCUCCGUAUUUGGAAGCGAAGAGGUACUAUGGAUUGAAGGCACCUCACUUUGGGUGCAACCCAUCGUAGCCUAUCUCAAAGAUCAAUAACUGCUAGCAUCGAAAAGCGAGGCGAAGAAAUUGAGAAUGAGGGCUGCUCACUUCAUUUUCCAGGAUAAUGUGCUCUACAAAAGGGGCUUCGCAUCGCCACUUCUCUGAUGGGUGGGAGAGGAAGAAGCCAUGUAUAUACUUAGGGAAAUCCAUGAGGGAGUCUGAGGUAAGCACUCCAGAAGAAUGGCUCUGGCACACAAAGUACUUCGACAAGGCUACUUCUGGCCAACCCUGAAAAAGGACUCUUGCCAGUUUGUUCAAAAAUGUGACAAGUGUCAGCGCUUCUCAAACAUUCAAAUGCAACCUUCUCAAAGCCUCUUCGUGGUCACCAGCCCAUAGCCAUUUGCCAAGUAGGGCAUCGACUUCAUUGGCCCUCUCCCCAAAGGAAGAGAAAGCACAACUUUUGCCAUUGACUACUUCACCAAGUGGUUUGAGGCUGAUCCUCUAGCCAAGAUCAUCGAGGCGAAUGCUACAAAAUUCAUCUGGAAAAACAUCAUUUGCAAGUUCGUCAUUCCCCACUUUUUAGUGUCUGACAACGAAAGAUAAUUUGACAACAAGAAGAUGUGAGACUUAUGUGACGAGCUGAGGAUAAGGAAAGAUUUCUCAACGCCUCAUCACCCCAAGCGAAUGGGCAAGUUGAGGUAGUGAACAAAACUAUCAAACAUACCCUUAAAAGGAAGCUUGAUGCCUCGAAAGGGGCAUGGGUCGAUGAGCUUUCCCUUGUCCUCUGGGCCAUCUGAACAACUAGCCGAACUACAACAGGGAAAACACUCUUCUCCUUGACCUUCGGAGCCGAAGCCAUGAGUCCGGUCGAGGUAGGAGUCCUCUCUCAUCAUCGGAUACACUUCAAUGAGAUCGACAAUGACUAAACUCGAUUGUACAAACUCCACCUCCUUGAAGAAAGGAGGGAUUCUUCCCGAAUAAAAUUGGCUAAGUAUCAAAGAAAGAUGACCCACUAUUAAAACUCCAAGGUCAGAAAUCGAACUCUUCGCUUGAGGGACCUCGUCCUCAGAAGGGUCUUCCAAUCGUCGAAGCCAAUUGAGUCCGGAGUGUUUAGACCGAACUGGGAAGAUCCUUAUCACAUCCACAAGGAGUCCCGACCCGGUACUUAUGAAAUCAAAGACAUGGCAAGGAAGGUGCUGCCUCAUCAGUGGAACAUUGAACACUUGAUGAAGUACUAUCAGUGAUAAGUGUAGGUUUUGAUCCGAUCUCCAUGUCAGUAAUAAGUGUAUGUUCUGAUUCGAUUUCCAUUUUGUCCACAGCCCAUUGUAACAUUCCUAUCUUACUAAGUGUUGAAACUGGCUUAGGGAAAGAUAAUGUUGUAAAUUUUAAGUUAUAAUACCUCAGUUCUCCAUUAUGUUAUAUGGGUUAAUCAAUUGGUGCCUCAAUUCUUCAAUAUUUUAUAUGGGUUAAUUUUUCUGUCAUCGAUUGGUUAUUAUUGGUAAGUGAUGCUUAAUAUUUACUUAAGUAUCAUUUACUCAUCAAGAUACAAACAAUUCAACAUACAAGUAAAGGGAUGAAGCAACAACACUUGAAAAAAUUUUAAUUUCAUUAACAUCAAAGUAAAAUACAAAAUGUGGGCCGAAGCCAUUACAAAACAUUCUUAUUCUACUCUAGGGACAUCUUCAGCUCUGGCCUCCGGCUAAACCUCUUGGGGGGCUUUAGUAGCUUCCUUGACGGCUGUGUCAGGUCGACCUUCAGUAGGCCCACCAAACUCCAUUUUCAGGAAAAUUAGAUCCAGAGUUGGGUGGACCUCCCUUAGGCGAUCCAACAUUGCCUGGAAAUUCUAUGAGGCCCAGAAGUUGGCAAAGUCGUCGUACAGUGGAUGUUUUUCGAAGUGAUCGAUGAAGUUUUGCACUGCUGACUCCCCCGACGCCUUCACCUCGACCUUCAGAGAUUCGAUCUCUUCAUUCUAAGCCUCUACACAUUGCCUCAGCUCGGCCUUCUCUUUGCUGGAGGCCUCCAGAGCCUCAGUGGCGAGUCGAUGGUGCUCAUUGGCACGAUCGAUUUUCCUUGUCAUAGUAGCCAUCUGACACUCCACUUCAUAGAGCUCCUUCUUCAGCCUCUCUAUUUCCCCAUUGGCUUUGACCAGCCCAAAUUCAGCCUUUUGCUGCGCCUUUUUCACCUCCGAGGCCUUUGCUUGGGCUGCCCGCACUGCAUCGCCUCCUCCAGGCGCUUGGCCAAGUCCUCCAUCUUGGCAUUGAGGUCCUUUACCAAACCCUCGAGCUGGACACUUGUGCUAAGAGCCCGGGCAAUGCACGAACUGUUAGCUGCAACAAAGUCCUCUACAGGUAGAACACGGUGUAGUCCCUCCACUCCUUGAUUCCAUAUUUGUCGUGGACCACCGCUAUUGCAGUUGUCUUUGAAGGCAGGGCCUUCAGCACCUCCUUUACUAACUCCUCAGUGUUGACGCCCAAAAAAUUGGCCUCCUUUGCAGGGCGAGCCCUCUUUCUCCUUUGCUACCUCGGCACUUAAGAAAUUGGCACUGUAGGAAGUGGAGCUUUAGUCGGAGCAGCAGCAGCAACAACUGGGGAAGCCUCGGAAGGGGGAACAGUCUUCUCCUGGAUGACUACCCUAAUAGGUAUCGUGGUAUGCUUCAGAACCGGAGGCCUCGCCACGGUUGGCCCCUUCGAGGAGCCAGCAACUCUUUUCCACUUUUUCAGCAAGUUUACCUUAGGGUCUUAUGCUUCCUCCUCCUUCGCUGAUGGCUGAAGCGUCUUGCUUGCAGUCACCAGCUCCUCGGCCUGCUUCUUAUGGCAGAGGAGGAGGUCUUCAAGGCCCUUGCCCCAACCAUCAUCUUUUGGAUGGUCUUAAAAUCAGGCCUCAAGGGCCUCUUCUUGUUGAAAUCAUUUGCAGAGAAACAAGAAAAUUGGUACAAGUAUACAAAGUUUGGAAACCUACUACAAUAAAGCCACUUCUGAUAUUUACCUUGAGAGGCCAUUAGAUCGUGCGUAACGAAGUGUUUGUUAUUCUUAAUUAGCUUGUGAUAAGAUCUUCUCUUCAAUGGGAGCUGAUAAACAAUGCAAAUUAUAUCAAAUUCCUCAGUGGAUAUCUCACACUGAGGAAUAGUGCUUGCAAACAACAAACAAAGGUCAAGAACCGAACAGAAACUCAAAACAAAUUUAAACACAAGGCGUCAUCACUCACUAAGUGAUGAAUACUUAGUUGGGACUAUGAGAGGCGCCAGGGGGUCCCCUCCAUUGUGUCCCACCUUUCUGACGCCCAGCACCAUGAUAUCUUCCAAUCCUUUAUUGAGCUCGACAGGUUUAGAACGAAGGGAGUAUGAGCCCCCCAGGAGGUUGGGUAAUACCAUCCCUUAGUCUUGUCCUCCCCAACUGCCACUUUGGGAUGUAUAGGGUCUGGAAGACUGAAAAUGGCAUCUCUACCCCAAGAGACGCCUCCUUCCACAACAUCUAGGAGCCCACCAUCUGGCUCUAGGAGUUCGGGUUUAAUUGGGUCGGAGCUAGCCCAUAUGACCUAAGGACAUACCUGAAGAAAGGAUGGAUAGGCAGCCUAAGUCCAGCCCUAAAAGUACCUCGCUCACAGCCACAUACCCCGGCGUAGGGUAACAGGCUCGUUCAUUAAGCUCCGGCAAUAUAAGAUCUAUGCUAUCAGGGAUCCUAUAUUCUGCCCUAAAUCUAUCUAGGUUGGCCUCUCUCAACUUUGAUGGAUAGUCAGAAGCCCCCCAAUGUUCUGAUGUGUUUACCGACUAUCAGGCCUACGCCAAAUGUUUUUCCCCUAAUAUAGCCUUGGAUACCUCACUGGACGUAGUCAAAAUAGGCUUAUCCACCAGAACUAUACCCAGUUCCCUCCCCGAAGCAUCACUACCCUCAGAAGCCAUCUUCAAAAUUGAAAAAACUUGAAAAACUAGCAAGAUACUUACUGAAACGAACGGAUUCGGGUUUUCUACUAUCGAAAUAAAAGAAAGGGCCCUCUAAAACUCGUCGAAAAGCAGAAAUGUCGUCGAAAAAUGCUUGAAGAUCGCCAAAAAUUGCAGAGAAUUUUGAGAGCAGAGAGAGUUUGAUUUCGUAAAAGUGAAAGCCUCUCAGAACGCUCAAGCCCCCCCCUUUUAUAGAACACUCUAGAUGAUCUCCACCGUUAAAUUCAAAUACUAUCAAUCUAGGCUGUCCAUCGCAUUACAAAUCUAGGCCGUUAAAAUGAAACGUCAGAUCUGAUCUAUAUCUAAGAUCUAGUUGUGGCCCUCACGCACACAUAAAACGUGUCGCCUUGAUCCCCAUCAGUCGUCUACAAUAAGUAACCACAACAGUCUUUUUUGGGAAUGGGCAUCGUAUUCAACUGUCGCCUUGAAAAUACGCGACAGCUGUCAAAUCAUCUAACGUCAGAAAUGGUCGCCUCAAAUGAGCUCUUCACCCAGCUUUACAAAGCUUCGAAGCACCUGAUGCGAAGUCCCUUGUAGGUCAUCACUUCGAUCGCUACGUUCCUUCCUAAACUUUUCAAAACUUUAACCAUCUCCCAACAUGUCGUCCCAUGUGGAUCAGCGCACCGGUGGCAGAUGAACUCUUCACCAAACUUUACAAAGUUUCGACGUACCUGACGUGAAGUCCCCUGUGGGUCAUCACUUCGGUCGCCGCAUUCCCUCCUAAGCUUUACAAAGCUUUAGCCAUCUCCUAAUACGUCGUCCCUUGUGGGUUAACGCAUUGGUGGUAGAUGAGCUCUUUACCCAACUUUACAAAGUUUCGACAAACCUGACGCGGAGUCCCAUGUGCGUCAUCGUCUCGAUCGUUGCAUUCCCUCUUAAGCUUUACAAAACUUUAACCAUCUCCCAACACGUCGUCCCCCUAUGGGUCAGCGCCCCGGAAGCAGAUGAACUCCUCCCCCCAACAAAAUCACAACCCACAACGCCUCGGUUAUCACUAAGCCUAAGCUAGCAGGUGUUCGGAACAUCUGCUGGAUGCGCCCUUUCACAUCAGGACUUCAUCGAAAUUGCAGUCCCUACUCUAAGCCCAACAUAUACAAUCGGGAAAACAAGUCCACCAAUGAUAUGAAUAUUCAUGCCUGAACUUGGGGGAACCACUGUUACGCCCCUAACUAAACCACUUUGCAACAUCAGGCACACCACUCCCCGAAGUGCCACGUCUUCAUCCGAAGUGGUUUCGAAGUGAUCCGACAACCCCCAACUUCAUGAGCUGCGAGGCGCAGGGUAGAUUCAUUGAAUCAGCCGAAGUGCCCCCUAAGUCAAAGCGUUAGGCACUCCGAGGUGCUCUUUUAACAGAUCUCUCCGCCUCUACUUUCAGAAAGAUAUCUGUGUCAGGAUCUUUUCUGCCUCCAAAGAUUAAUUAAUGUGACGUCUCCAUAGGUUUAGUUGAUGUGACGUAUCAACUUUAUGUCAAUUCGACUCAGAAGAAUUAAUUACCCCCACUCUAGACGCGGCUGAUUGAUACCUAUGAGAGGACGUCUCACACCGUCAGAUGCAUACACGUGUUCCUCAUCUAACGGUGCUCCAUGUCUAUAAAUACCCAAUGCUUGGUAAGGGGGAAAGGUAAUGAAACUCUCACAACUUAGCUCUCCAUAUUAAGAAAAAUAUAUAUUCUCGUCCACAGUCUCUUGCACAAUAUGAGCACUGUUUCGAUCACCUAACACUGACUUGACCGUUGGAAUGUAUGCGGCCGCCACCACCCCCACUGGUUUUGCCCGUGUAUUUUUGACCGCACGUUGUCGUACACAGGGAUGCUUAGGUGAAGUGACUAUUUGUUGGCCAUGUAGAGGAUUCAAUUCGUUAGGUCAACAAACCUCAUCUCUUAUAUGUGAUAAAAUUGUACCCAUGAUAUCAAAAUUAUUACACUUGUUGCAUCAUUUCUAUGGAAUAAUGCUGAGUGUACGGCAUUUUGAUAGCCCACUCACAAUCGUGGGUCACAAUUAUUUUAAUCGUGAACCUUAUAUAUUAAUGAAAUGGACAGUGACAAUCAAGAAUCUGAAUUUGGUUGAGGAGAUUGAUAAUCAAGUUAUUAGUUGUAAAAAAAAAAUUAAAAAAGUGAAAAAAUUUGAUAGUGAUUGGAUAAUAUAUCGUAACCUAAAUUGCUACUAACUUCUUGACUUUCUUAUAAAUCAAGUAAAUGGACGUGAAUAAGACAACACACGUUAAGAUUUGAUUAACGCACCACAAUAUCAUCAAAUAUCCCCUAAUUUUUCCUUAAAAGGGUUCUUAAAGAUUAAUUAAUUAAGUUUUAAAUAAAAGCACAUUUGAUUCAUUUACAUUACGGGUUUGAAAUUUCAAAUGUAAACAGUUCUGGCUAUCAUCUCGUUCGACACAUGGAGGUACAAAAGUAGAUUUUUAAAAAUUCUCACACGCUCCAUAGUAGGAAUGAUAAUCGGACUCGUCGAUUCGGAUAGUUCGUGAGUCUGCUCGAAAAAAGUUCGAGCCCGCCCGACUCGAGACUCAGAAGAACCGAGCCAAGGCUCGGGUCGAGCCUCAUUUAGGGGUGCUGGGCAAAACUUGAACCGACUCAUGUGGCUCGCUGAUUUGAGUUUACAAGCCUAUAUUUAUAUUAAAAAAAAAAACCAUACAAAAAAAAAUAAAAAUUUAAAGGUUGCGUGCUGCUGCCUAUUUUUGACAGGUGGUUGCUGCCAUGUUUAUAUUAAAAAAAAAAAAAAAAAAUCAGCAAAACACUAGCUCAGCCCGGCACUACUCGGAAAGGCCCAAGCCAAAAGCUCGAUCAUUCUACUCAAACCGAACCCGAGUUUAAAAUUUCAACUCGACUCGUUGACAUCCCUACUCCAUAGACAAUCAUAAAAACAACAUAAAUUCAAAAAGUAAACUUAAAUUGCAAUAUACAAAAAUUAAAAGUUCAAAUUCAUCAAAUCACGACAUCAAUGUAUUAAGGGAAAAUUAGGCUCAAUACGCUGGAAACGAGAAAAAUUAGAUUAAUGCAUUAAAAUGAAUUAAACCUCACAUAAACCGUAAUUAAUACGUCCUUACUAAAAUCUCCAAACCUCAAAAUAUACGAAGAGUUCUGCCGCAGUUGGAAUUCACAUUAUAAAUAAUUACAAAAAAUUUUGCAAAUUUAUAUGAUAAAUUAAUAAUUCAUCCACGGAAAACACAUCAAUAGGCAUUAAAUAGAAAAUUAAUUAAUUUAUACAUGUUAAAUUUUCUUGAACCUCGAAUCGAUUUGAAAUCAUUAGUGACUAAAAAAAUAUCAAUGGGCAUUAAAUAAUAUUCUCGUCAUGUGCUAAAAAAUUUAAGGAAUAUUAAAAAUUAUAAAGUGUUAUAUGUUUAUUCUAGUGCUGGAUAAUAAAAAUAAUGACGCCAACAGAUAAAUAUAAUUUGCAUAAUGUUUAUAUUGUUACUAAUAUCUCUUUUAAUGGAAUUUGAACACACAGUUAAACAUUCCAGGGUUAGAAGUAUUCGAGUCUGUUCAUUCACAUUUUAUGAUACUAUGAGUCUAUGAUUGUACUUUCUGCCAUUAUUAAGCGAGGUAUUAUUAUUUGUGAAUAAUAUAUUAUGAAAUAUUGAUUGAUAUUAAAAUAUGUGAUUAAAAAAAAAAGAAACUUUUUUUAUUUAUGUAUAAUAUUAUUUUAAUGAAAAUUGUAUAGAUAAAAAUAAACACUAUAAAAAAUAUAAUGUAAUAAAAUGAUAAACAAACAAAAAUCAAAGGCCAAACACCUUGUGACAUGACCAAAAUUAGCAACAUAAGCCCCUCGGAACACAUCCAAAUUGGCGAAACAAUCACAUUGGGGGCUCUGGAACCAAGCGUGAGGAAUUCGAUUCCUGAAAAGCACAACUUGAAAGUCAAGAUUUAUCUUAAGAGCAAGUUGCUGUAAGACAGUGAAGAGGCACCCUUUGAAGAAGGAGUAAAAGCCGUGUGGAAACUGAGAACCAACAAAGACACAUCCCGCGAUUUACCUCCCUAAUCUGUUGAAGAGUCGGAGGUUCAAAAACGAGGAUAUAAUCUAGCGCAAGUCGGGACAUCUCGCUAAAAAAAAAAAAAAAAAAAUAUCAACACAAGUUCGAAUUUUUAUACAUUCACUCUUCUACUCCAUAUGCAUAACGUAGUGCCAAAUCAACUAGUUACUAUUGCAGUGACAGUAAGCUUUGCUUGAUCUGUUAACUAAUUAUAUUUAGAAUACUUUUAACAAAUUCAUCUCUAUAAAAUUUAUUCAAAGUAUAUCAAAUUAUCAAUUUUCAAUAUGAAAACAAUCAAAAUGAAUUUAACUAACAUAAAAGAUUAAAAAAUAAUAAAUACUUUUAUAUUAAUAAAAUCAAAUUUUGAAUAUAAAAAACUUGUUAAAUUAUUUUAAAAAUUGAACUCUAUAAAUUUAUAAAAACCCUUCAAAUAAUAAAAUAUGCCCUUUCAAAAUAAGAAAUUAACUCAAAGAUACUCUGAAAAUAUAUUCAAAUAAAGCAAGUUUUAUUCAACAAAACAUAGACCAUCACACUUCAAAAGUCAACCAUUUCACCCGAUAACACAGUUAAAAGAUAACAUACACCGAUUCAUAAGUACGCAUACACAAUACGUAAGACUUCAAAACAGUUUCUUGGUGUUUAUCGUCUUCAACCAGAAAUCUCAAUGGCUUUGACAUCAGGCUUCUUCACCUCCCCUUUGGGAACAGUUACAGUUAGGACACCAUUCUCCAUGCUUGCCUUGACCUGAUCCAUUUUCGCAUUCUCCGGCAGCCUGAACCGGCGGAAGAAUCUGCCAGAACUCCUCUCCAUACGGUGCCAAGUAUCAUUCUUCUCCUCUUUCUCCCUGCUCCUUUCUCCACUAAUCUGCAGUACGUUACCUUCCUCAACUUCGACCUUCACCUCCUCUUUCUUCAGCCCUGGAAGGUCCGCCUUAAACACGUGGCCUUCCGGUGUUUCCUUCCAGUCAAUCCGAGUGGCAGCAAACUGAGAUGUCUCAUUGGAAAGGUCGGAACGAAUCUGUGUGGAAAGCACGGAAUUAAACGGCCAGUCUUGAAAGGGAUCGAGAGAAAAUGGAUCCCAGAUGUCGUUUCGCCGGCCAAAAACACUUGGAAUUAGCGACAUUUUCUGCCAAAAAAGUGGAAGAUUUGGAGAAU
rnacentral:lncRNA from 1 species